rnacentral:rRNA from 1 species
UACGUAGGGGGCAAGCGUUGUCCGGAAUUAUUGGGCGUAAAGCGCGCGCAGGUGGUGGAUUAAGUUGUGGGUAAAAGGCAAUGGCUCAACCAUUGUAAGCCUGCAAAACUGGUUCACUUGAGUGCAGGAGAGGGGAGUGGAAUUCCCGGUGUAGCGGUGAAAUGCGUAGAGAUGUGGAGGAACACCGAUGGCGAAGGCAGCCUUCUGGGCCAACACUGACGCUCAUGCACGAAAGCGUGGGGAGCAAACAGG